GACGAACGCUGGCGGCGUGCUUAACACAUGCAAGUCGAACGGUGAAGCGCCUUCCUUUUUGGUGGGUGUGGAUGAGUGGCGAACGGGUGAGUAACACGUGAGUAACCUGCCCCCUUCUUCUGGAUAACCGCAUGAAAGUGUGGCUAAUACGGGAUAUUCUGGGUCUGUCGCAUGACGGGUCUGGGAAAGAUAUUGUUUCGGUGGGGGAUGGGCUCGCGGCCUAUCAGCUUGUUGGUGGGGUGAUGGCCUACCAAGGCGGUGACGGGUAGCCGGCCUGAGAGGGUGGACGGUCACACUGGGACUGAGACACGGCCCAGACUCCUACGGGAGGCAGCAGUGGGGAAUAUUGCACAAUGGGCGCAAGCCUGAUGCAGCGACGCCGCGUGAGGGAUGGAGGCCUUCGGGUUGUGAACCUCUUUCGCCAGUGAAGCAGGCCUGCCUCGUUUGUGGGUGGGUUGACGGUAGCUGGAUAAGAAGCGCCGGCUAACUACGUG
rnacentral:rRNA from 1 species